GCGUCGGUAGUGCAAUGGUUCUACCACACCCUCUCGAAUAGGAUGAAAUCUGGGUUCGAAUCACAGCUCGACGCA